GAUGAACGCUGGCGGCGUGCCUAAUACAUGCAAGUCGAGCGAACAGACGAGGAGCUUGCUCCUCUGACGUUAGCGGCGGACGGGUGAGUAACACGUGGAUAACCUACCUAUAAGACUUGGAUAACUUCGGGAAACCGGAGCUAAUACCGGAUAAUAUAUUGAACCGCAUGGUUCAAUAGUGAAAGACGGUUUUGCUGUCACUUAUAGAUGGAUCCGCGCCGCAUUAGCUAGUUGGUAAGGUAACGGCUUACCAAGGCAACGAUGCGUAGCCGACCUGAGAGGGUGAUCGGCCACACUGGAACUGCGACACGGUCCAGACUCCUACGGGAGGCAGCAGUAGGGAAUCUUCCGCAAUGGGCGAAAGCUUGACGGAGCAACGCCGCGUGAGUGAUGAAGGUCUUCGGAUCGUAAAACUCUGUUAUUAGGGAAGAACAAAUGUGUAAGUAACUAUGCACGUCUUGACGGUACCUAAUCAGAAAGCCACGGCUAACUACGUG
rnacentral:rRNA from 1 species